AGAACUUCAGCUUUGGGGGUUGAUAGUGGGGUUAUAGCUCCUUCCUUGA
rnacentral:tRNA from 1 species